UUCAAACCCUAAUAGUACUAAUAACAGUAAUAAGCCUCCGCCUCUUUGGUUCUUUCAUAUUCAUCCACGCGACUGCAUUAUCUUGCCUAUUUCACUGAAUCAUCAAAUCCAGUAUCAAAUUCAAAUCUAAGCAAGCACAUACACUGAUCGAGCCUCCUGCUAAACCAAACACAAACACAAAAACCAGCCCGGGAUUCAAUUCGUUUCACCUCAGCUCAUCUUCAGUAUCAUGUUACUUAGACCCGUGUAGAUCUGGAUAACAUGUACCAAAAUAUAGUUGUAUCUGAUUAUCAAGCAAUGAAGAAAAUGCUCCAUAUUCAAUAUUUCUCUGGUUUUACAUCUCCGAAGUAUUACCGAAAGUCAUUUAUAGUAAUGAUUUCAAAGUAAGCGAACACCUGAUGAAGGUAAGGUCUUUUCAUUGUCAAUGUUGUGGUUCAUGUAUGAGAUAUAUAAUUAGUUUGCUCGAUAUUGAUGGUUGAUUAAUUGCUUCAUUAAUUCUACUUACAAAAUUCUCCCUAUUGGAUUUCAUUUAAGUUGUAAGAGUUAUAUAAUAAGGAGCGAAGCUGGUUGGUGCAGAGUCAAAUCCUGGUGCUUUGAAGAAACAUAAAAGUGUGAUAAAUAAGGAGUAGGAGGAAUAUAUGUACAUAGCAAUCAGAAGCUGAAAAUGAUGACUUAAUCUUAAUAGUUUUUACUAGUUUCUUUGCUCUUCCCAAUUUUUUUUUCUUUUGAUUUGUAAGAGUUACGCAAAUCUAUAAAUGUAUUAUUCAUCUUUAAUAUAUGUAAAAUUUUAUAAUUAAUUUCUAUAUAAAUGGAUAUGUUGAAGUUCGAUUUCUUUUACAUAUAUAGUAUGGAGUCAGAGUCAAAUUUUGGUGUCUUUUUGACCCACAGUAGUGUGAUAAAUAAGGUAAGAGAGAAAUAUAUGUGUGUAGCAAUAAGUUGGUUAAAGUUAUAAAUAAAGGGGUACUAAAUUUGGGCUUAGUACAUUUAGUGUCUGCCAUGAACAUACGUAUAGUUGCUCUAGAUUCUUCGUUAGAGUUAGUGUCAUCCCAACCUUUUCCCUCAGCAAUGUAGACCCUUCC